rnacentral:rRNA from 1 species
AUAUCAAUAAGCGGAGGAAAAGAAACCAACAGGGAUUGCCUCAGUAACGGCGAGUGAAGCGGCAAGAGCUCAAAUUUGAAAUCUGGCUCCUCUUGGGGCCCGAGUUGUAAUUUGGAGAGGAUGCUUCGGGACUGGCCCCCAUCUAAGUGCCCUGGAACGGGCCGUCAUAGAGGGUGAGAAUCCCGUCUGGGAUGGGUGGCCUGGCCCGUGUGAAGCUCCUUCGACGAGUCGAGUUGUUUGGGAAUGCAGCUCUAAAUGGGUGGUAAAUUUCAUCUAAAGCUAAAUAUUGGCCGGAGACCGAUAGCGCACAAGUAGAGUGAUCGAAAGAUGAAAAGCACUUUGAAAAGAGAGUUAAACAGCACGUGAAAUUGUUGAAAGGGAAGCGCUUGCAACCAGACUCGCCCGGGGGGGCUCAACCGGCACUUGUGCCGGUGCACUCCCCCCCGGGCGGGCCAGCGUCGGUUUGGGCGGCCGGUCAAAGGUCCCCGGAAUGUAUCACCUCUCGGGGUGUCUUAUAGCCGGGGAUGCCAUGCGGCCAGCCUGGACCGAGGCCCGCGCUUCGGCGAGGAUGCUGGCGUAAUGGUGGUCAACGG